GGGGGGGGGGCGGAAGGGUUUUUUUAUACAGUAGGACUGUAGGGUAGCAAUCCAUUCAUAAAACUUGUUGAGUUUACCAGGACAGUCUGAUAAACCGCAAGUAUGUCAGGAGAUGAAUAUUAAAGAAAUAGUUUCUGCUUGAAGGGCCCUAGGGAUGGGUGGGUGUUGGGGAGACGGAGCCCUGGUGGUUGGCACUGGAGGAGAGAUAGGCUACAGUGGUUGUCUUUGAUAAAAAGAUAGGAAAGAGGAGCUUCCUGUAAGAAAGUCUAUUCAUUACAUGGGAGACACUACUCUGUACUACACUCUUACAAAAGAUACAAUUAUUUUUUUUUGAGACCAUUAAAAAGAAAGAAAGAAAAAGCCCAGACAUUCUUUUGCAUAAAGGCUGUCAUAAUAUGAGCAUUGAAAGCACUAGACAACUUAGAAACAUAUUUCACUGCUUGCAAAUCAUUUCUACACUGAGCCUGCAUCACAUAUACCAAUUGUUUGUACCUCAUUAACCACUGUCACCACUUGAUAUCUUUGUGUUGCUAAUAGUUUUUACCCUUCCUUCUAAACUAGUCAUGUUUAUUUGCUUAUUUUAAUUAUGUUUUUUUUUAUUUCCAAUGUUUAUGAAUUAACAAUUUUGAUUACUUUGUACUAUUCAUGAAUUUACAUUAUAAAAAAAAAGUAACAAAAAAAAAUUUGACAUGAACAAUAAACCACUAAUGAAACAAUUUGAAA